CCCACUAUCAUCUCAGUUGUGGCUACCUUCCCUUUGCGAAAAGCCUCAAGUCUAGCCUCCAUCAUGGACAUAUACAUGUCCCUCAUCUGGAAUGUCUCUGCAUGGUGUGCUGGCUCAUCCUGCCUAGCUGCUCCUCCCCUAGGAUGUCUCCUAGGCACUGGUUCAGCUACCUCAUCACCUCCACAAUGUUGUCUGUAGUAUGAGGCAUCAAUGGCCUUUUUAGGCCUCUCGAACGAUGGAAUGUUAGUAUCCACC
rnacentral:lncRNA from 1 species